GGCAGAUUUGGGUCCCAGAUGUAAUCGAUCUGCGGGAUUCCUGUGAGGACGUGUCCAGUCGUCGCGUUCGUUUCGCUGGCCACCGUUGUGAUCGUCUGAAGAAAAUCACGAACAGCGUUCUCGAUCAGUUACAUUACCACUCAGUCAACGUAUAUACGUAUAUCAUAGUAUAUUAAAAUCAAAUACACAAUUCGAUCAAGUGUCAAUUGAUUUUAAAUACUAUUGCCAAAAUCACGACAUCGCUAUUGAUUUGGAAGAAUCUUCUUUGUCGUGUCUACGUAUAGCCUGACGGUCGAACGAGCUGAGAAUAAGCAACUGGUUGAGUAACAAGAUUGUCCUUUUUCACGUCAGACGCCUACAGAUACAAAUUUUCUAAGGAUUUCCGAGUCUUUUUAUUUGUAAUUUUCAAACAUUGCCAUUCUGUCGAAAGUUAAGCAAGCGUCCGCACGUUUGCGAGCGUAGUAGCGCGUAUCUAGCCUGUGAGACGGUAGUUAUCUAAUGCAUCGUAGUUCUACCGUGGCUCUUGGUAACGGUCAGUGAUGUGCUCGCGAUGCUACUUUCGAUGAUGUCACGAUGCCGUUUCUAUGUGAAGCUCGUCUGGAUUCGGUGGAGAAAAGAAGCCAACGUUCGCGAGUACGAACAGCGAAGCGAUUGCCACUACUUUCGCCACGUUAAUCUCGUAAACUCUCCUAUUCUAACAGCGAGAAUAACCCGAGAAAAACCUCGAUUUCCAUCUAAAGAUUUUCGAUCGAGAAACUUGCCGUUUCUAGAAAGCGUGCCACGUUCUUAGAGAUAGAAGUUGCUUUGGACAAAAGAAAUGCACAGACCUGUCUCUCGGCUCCGUCGAUUAUUCCUUAAUCCCUCAUGAAAGC